GGUGAACGCUGGCGGCGUGCCUAAGACAUGCAAGUCGAGCGGGGCAGGUUUAUACCUGUUCAGCGGCGGACGGGUGAGUAACGCGUGGGUGACCUACCCGGAAGAGGCGGACAACCUGGGGAAACCCAGGCUAAUCCGCCAUGUGGUCCUGUCCUGUGGGGCAGGACUAAAGGGGCGACCCGCUUCCGGAUGGGCCCGCGUCCCAUCAGCUAGUUGGUGGGGUAAAGGCCCACCAAGGCGACGACGGGUAGCCGGUCUGAGAGGAUGGCCGGCCACAGGGGCACUGAGACACGGGCCCCACUCCGACGGGAGGCAGCAGUGAGGAAUCUUCCGCAAUGGACGGAAGUCUGACGGAGCGACGCCGCUUGGAGGAGGAAGCCCUUCGGGGUGUAAACUCCUGAACUGGGGACGAAAGCCCCGUGUAGGGGGAUGACGGUACCCAGGUAAUAGCGCCGGCCAACUCCGUG
rnacentral:rRNA from 1 species